GGCAGGGACUAAGAGGCAUAUCUCUUGUUUAGGGCUUUGAAGGUCCUUGGUUUAAAGUUAACCUAAGUCUCUA
rnacentral:tRNA from 1 species